AAACAAUAACAAGUUUACGUCUAUGCCGUUUUUCCCGUGAUUUCACGGCGCAUUCACAGGUUAUAGGUUCGAGAUCUCUCAGGUCGUGUUAUAGGCGCACGUAUUUCGGCGCUACAAAAUCCGAACACUAUUUGCGUAGCGCGAGUAAAUAUCAUAUUUUUAUAACCGUCGGCCGAUACAUAAACGCCCGAGACGUUCACCA